rnacentral:rRNA from 1 species
GACGAACGCUGGCGGCGUGCCUAACACAUGUAAGUCGCACGGGACCGGGGGCAACUCCGGUUCAGUGGCAGACGGGUGCGUAACACGUGAGGAACCUGUCCGACGGCGGGGGAUAGCCGGCCCAACGGCCGGGUAAUACCGCAUACGCUCGUUUGGGGGCAUCCCUGGGCGAGGAAAGCAGCCGCAAGGUUGCGCCGAUGGAGGGUCUCGCGGCCUAUCAGCUUGUUGGCGGGGUAACGGCCCACCAAGGCGACGACGGGUAGCUGGUCUGGGAGGAUGGCCAGCCACAUUGAGACUGAGACACGGCCCAGACUCCUACGGGAGGCAGCAGUGGGGAAUCUUGCGCAAUGGCCGCAAGGCUGACGCAGCGACGCCGCGUGUGGGAUGACGGCCUUCGGGUUGUAAACCACUGUCAGGGGGAACGAAUACCGGGCCGCGAAUAGCGGACCCGGGGUGACGGUACCUCCAAAGGAAGCACCGGCUAACUCCGUGCCAGCAGCCGCGGUAAUACGGAGGGUGCGAGCGUUGUCCGGAAUCACUGGGCGUAAAGGGCGCGUAGGCGACUCGCUAAGUGGCUGGUGAAAUCCCGGGGCUCAACUCCGGGGCUGCCGGUCAGACUGACGGGCUCGAGCACGGUAGAGGCAGAUGGAAUUCCCGGUGUAGCGGUGGAAUGCGUAGAGAUCGGGAAGAAUACCAGUGGCGAAGGCGUUCUGCUGGGCCGUUGCUGACGCUGAAGCGCGACAGCGUGGGGAGCAAACAGGAUUAGAUACCCUGGUAGUCCACGCCGUAAACGAUGGACACUAGGCGUCGGGGGGGAGCGACCCUCCCGGUGCCGUCGCUAACGCAGUAGGUGUCCCGCCUGGGGAAGUACGGCCGCAAGGCUGAAACUCAAAGGAAUUGACGGGGGCCCGCACAAGCGGUGGAGCAUGUGGUU